rnacentral:rRNA from 1 species
UACGUAGGGGGCAAGCGUUGUCCGGAUUUAUUGGGCAUAAAGAGCGUGUAGGCGGCUUUACAGGUCCGUUGUGAAAACUCGAGGCUCAACCUCGAGACGCCGGUGGAAACCGUAAAGCUAGAGUCCGGAAGAGGAGAGUGGAAUUCCUGGUGUAGCGGUGAAAUGCGCAGAUAUCAGGAAGAACACCCGUGGCGAAGGCGGCUCUCUGGGACGGUACUGACGCUGAGACGCGAAAGCGUGGGGAGCGAACAGG